rnacentral:rRNA from 1 species
GACGUAGGGCGCGAGCGUUGUCCGGAUUUAUUGGGCGUAAAGAGCUCGUAGGCGGCUUGUCGCGUCGACUGUGAAAACCCGCGGCUCAACUGCGGGCCUGCAGCCGAUACGGGCAGGCUAGAGUUCGGUAGGGGAGACUGGAAUUCCUGGUGUAGCGGAGAAAUGCGCAGAUAUCGGGAGGAACACCUGCGGCGAAGGCGGGUUGCUGGGCCGACACUGACGCUGAUGCGCGAAAGCCAGGGGAGCGAACGGG